rnacentral:rRNA from 1 species
AACGAACGCUGGCGGCAUGCCUAACACAUGCAAGUCGAACGAAGGCUUCGGCCUUAGUGGCGCACGGGUGCGUAACGCGUGGGAAUCUGCCCUUUGGUUCGGAAUAACAGCUGGAAACGGCUGCUAAUACCGGAUGAUUACGAAAGUUCAAAGAUUUAUCGCCAGAGGAUGAGCCCGCGUUGGAUUAGGUAGUUGGUGGGGUAAAGGCCUACCAAGCCGACGAUCCAUAGCUGGUCUGAGAGGAUGAUCAGCCACACUGGGACUGAGACACGGCCCAGAAUCCUACGGGAGGCAGCAGUGGGGAAUAUUGGACAAUGGGCGCAAGCCUGAUCCAGCAAUGCCGCGUGAGUGAUGAAGGCCCUAGGGUUGUAAAGCUCUUUUACCCGGGAAGAUAAUGACUGUACCGGGAGAAUAAGCCCCGGCUAACUCCGUG